AGAUCCAGAAACUAGUCCAAGAAUCUUGGUCUUCUCAUUCAAGUUGGAGAAGAACAUAGAAAUUUAAUAUGCGUAUAUACAUGAUGAAAUCUCUUAAACAGUGUCUAAGAAUUUCGCACAUGAAAUUCCUGUGGAAAUUGUUUUAUAUCUAAUGUUUUCUAAAUAAAACAUAAUGAAAUGA